GGCCUUGUAGCUCAAUUGGAUAGAGCGUCUGACUACGGAUCAGAAGGUUGAGGGUUCGACUCCUUCCAAGGUCA
rnacentral:tRNA from 1 species